AUGCUAUCGGGGUCCGAUUCAGCCAUGCUAGUUGUACGGGUUUAGACCCGUAGCAAAUAGCUCCGUAACACGUGGUCAAACUACCCUCUGGACCGGAAUACCCUCGGGAAACUGAGGCUAAUUCCGGAUACUGCUUUCAUGUUGGAACACAGAAAGUCGGAAACGGUCCGCCGCCGGAGGACGUGACUGCGGCCGAUUAGGUAGACGGUGGGGUAACGGCCCACCGUGCCGAUAAUCGGUACGGGUUGUGAGAGCAAGAACCCGGAGACGGUAUCUGAGACAAGAUACCGGGCCCUACGGGGCGCAGCAGGCGCGAAACCUUUACACUGCACGCCAGUGCGAUAAGGGGACCCCGAGUGCGAGGGCAUACAGUCCUCGCUUUUCGUGACCGUAAGAAGGUCUCAGAAUAAGAGCUGGGCAAGACCGGUGCCAGCCGCCGCGGUAAUACCGGCAGCUCGAGUGAUAGCCACUAUUAUUGGGCCUAAAGCGUCCGUAGCCGGCCGAACAGGUCCGUCGGGAAAUCCACCUGCUCAACAGGUGGACGUCCGGCGGAAACCAGUCGGCUUGGGGCCGGGAGACCAGAGAGGUACGUCCGGGGUAGGAGUGAAAUCCCGUAAUCCUGGACGGACCGCCGGUAGCGAAAGCGUCUCUGGAGAACGGACCCGACGGUGAGGGACGAAAGCUUGGGUCUCGAACCGGAUUAGAUACCCGGGUAGUCCAAGCUGUAAACGAUGCUCGCUAGGUGUGGCGUUGGCUACGAGCCAGCGCUGUGCCGUAGGGAAGCCGAGAAGCGAGCCGCCUGGGAAGUACGUCCGCAAGGAUGAAACUUAAAGGAAUUGGCGGGGGGAGCACUACAACCGAGGAGCCUGCGGUU
rnacentral:rRNA from 1 species